rnacentral:rRNA from 1 species
GAUGAACGCUAGCGGCAGGCUUAACACAUGCAAGUCGAGGGGUAGGAGAAGCUUGCUUUUCUGAGACCGGCGCACGGGUGCGUAACGCGUAUGCAAUCUACCUUUCACAGAGGGAUAGCCCAGAGAAAUUUGGAUUAAUACCUCAUAGUAUAAUUGAAUGGCAUCAUUUAAUUAUUAAAGAUUUAUCGGUGAAAGAUGAGCAUGCGUCCCAUUAGCUAGUUGGUAUGGUAACGGCAUACCAAGGCAACGAUGGGUAGGGGUCCUGAGAGGGAGAUCCCCCACACUGGUACUGAGACACGGACCAGACUCCUACGGGAGGCAGCAGUGAGGAAUAUUGGACAAUGGGCGCAAGCCUGAUCCAGCCAUGCCGCGUGCAGGAUGACGGUCCUAUGGAUUGUAAACUGCUUUUAUACAGGAAGAAACACUCCCUCGUGAGGGAGCUUGACGGUACUGUAAGAAUAAGGAUCGGCUAACUCCGUGCCAGCAGCCGCGGUAAUACGGAGGAUCCAAGCGUUAUCCGGAAUCAUUGGGUUUAAAGGGUCCGUAGGCGGUCAGGUAAGUCAGUGGUGAAAGCCCAUCGCUCAACGGUGGAACGGCCAUUGAUACUGUCUGACUUGAAUUAUUAGGAAGUAACUAGAAUAUGUAGUGUAGCGGUGAAAUGCUUAGAGAUUACAUGGAAUACCAAUUGCGAAGGCAGGUUACUACUAAUUGAUUGACGCUGAUGGACGAAAGCGUGGGUAGCGAACAGGAUUAGAUACCCUGGUAGUCCACGCCGUAAACGAUGGAUACUAGCUGUUGGGAGCAAUCUCAGUGGCUAGGCGAAAGUGAUAAGUAUCCCACCUGGGGAGUACGAACGCAAGUUUGAAACUCAAAGGAAUUGACGGGGGCCCGCACAAGCGGUGGAGCAUGUGGUUUAAUUCGAUGAUACGCGAGGAACCUUACCAAGGCUUAAAUGUAGAUUGACCGUUUGGAAACAG